GGUUAAGCGACUAAGCGUACACGGUGGAUGCCCUGGCAGUCAGAGGCGAUGAAGGACGUGCUAAUCUGCGAUAAGCGUCGGUGAGGUGAUAUGAACCGUUAUAACCGGCGAUUUCCGAAUGGGGAAACCCAGUGUGUUUCGACACACUAUCAUUAACUGAAUCCAUAGGUUAAUGAGGCGAACCGGGGGAACUGAAACAUCUAAGUACCCCGAGGAAAAGAAAUCAACCGAGAUUCCCCCAGUAGCGGCGAGCGAACGGGGAGGAGCCCAGAGCCUGAAUCAGUGUGUGUGUUAGUGGAAGCGUCUGGAAAGGCGUGCGAUACAGGGUGACAGCCCCGUACACAAAAAUGCACAUGCUGUGAGCUCGAUGAGUAGGGCGGGACACGUGGUAUCCUGUCUGAAUAUGGGGGGACCAUCCUCCAAGGCUAAAUACUCCUGACUGACCGAUAGUGAACCAGUACCGUGAGGGAAAGGCGAAAAGAACCCCGGCGAGGGGAGUGAAAAAGAACCUGAAACCGUGUACGUACAAGCAGUGGGAGCCUCUUAAUGGGGUGACUGCGUACCUUUUGUAUAAUGGGUCAGCGACUUAUAUUCUGUAGCAAGGUUAACCGAAUAGGGGAGCCGAAGGGAAACCGAGUCUUAACUGGGCGUUAAGUUGCAGGGUAUAGACCCGAAACCCGGUGAUCUAGCCAUGGGCAGGUUGAAGGUUGGGUAACACUAACUGGAGGACCGAACCGACUAAUGUUGAAAAAUUAGCGGAUGACUUGUGGCUGGGGGUGAAAGGCCAAUCAAACCGGGAGAUAGCUGGUUCUCCCCGAAAGCUAUUUAGGUAGCGCCUCGUGAAUUCAUCUCCGGGGGUAGAGCACUGUUUCGGCAAGGGGGUCAUCCCGACUUACCAACCCGAUGCAAACUGCGAAUACCGGAGAAUGUUAUCACGGGAGACACACGGCGGGUGCUAACGUCCGUCGUGAAGAGGGAAACAACCCAGACCGCCAGCUAAGGUCCCAAAGUCAUGGUUAAGUGGGAAACGAUGUGGGAAGGCCCAGACAGCCAGGAUGUUGGCUUAGAAGCAGCCAUCAUUUAAAGAAAGCGUAAUAGCUCACUGGUCGAGUCGGCCUGCGCGGAAGAUGUAACGGGGCUAAACCAUGCACCGAAGCUGCGGCAGCGACACUAUGUGUUGUUGGGUAGGGGAGCGUUCUGUAAGCCUGUGAAGGUGUGCUGUGAGGCAUGCUGGAGGUAUCAGAAGUGCGAAUGCUGACAUAAGUAACGAUAAAGCGGGUGAAAAGCCCGCUCGCCGGAAGACCAAGGGUUCCUGUCCAACGUUAAUCGGGGCAGGGUGAGUCGACCCCUAAGGCGAGGCCGAAAGGCGUAGUCGAUGGGAAACAGGUUAAUAUUCCUGUACUUGGUGUUACUGCGAAGGGGGGACGGAGAAGGCUAUGUUGGCCGGGCGACGGUUGUCCCGGUUUAAGCGUGUAGGCUGGUUUU
rnacentral:rRNA from 1 species